rnacentral:rRNA from 1 species
UUUAUUGGAGAGUUUGAUCCUGGCUCAGGAUGAACGCUGGCGGCGUGCCUAAUACAUGCAAGUCGAGCGAACGGAUUAAGAGCUUGCUCUUAAGAAGUUAGCGGCGGACGGGUGAGUAACACGUGGGUAACCUGCCCAUAAGACUGGGAUAACUCCGGGAAACCGGGGCUAAUACCGGAUAACAUUUUGCACCGCAUGGUGCAAGAUUGAAAGGCGGCUUCGGCUGUCACUUAUGGAUGGACCCGCGUCGCAUUAGCUAGUUGGUGAGGUAACGGCUCACCAAGGCGACGAUGCGUAGCCGACCUGAGAGGGUGAUCGGCCACACUGGGACUGAGACACGGCCCAGACUCCUACGGGAGGCAGCAGUAGGGAAUCUUCCGCAAUGGACGAAAGUCUGACGGAGCAACGCCGCGUGAGUGAUGAAGGCCUUCGGGUCGUAAAGCUCUGUUGUUAGGGAAGAACAAGUAUGAGUUGAAUAAGCUCAUGCCUUGACGGUACCUAACCAGAAAGCCACGGCUAACUACGUGCCAGCAGCCGCGGUAAUACGUAGGUGGCAAGCGUUAUCCGGAAUUAUUGGGCGUAAAGCGCGCGCAG